AAUACAGCCCUGACAGCAUCUUUUAUCUCUGCUUGGGAAUCCAGAAGUACCUGUUUGAGAACAAUCGGAUGGAGAACAUCUUCGCUGACGUCUUCUACACAAAAUUCUGCCAUGAACUGACCAACAUACUCAGACAGUGGAAACCAACUAUUUUGCCCAGUGGUUAUGUUCAUUCUCGUGUGGAGGAGGAGUAUCUGUGGGACUGUAAGCAGCUGGGGGCGUUUUCACCCGGUGUGCUGCUCAA